rnacentral:rRNA from 1 species
CGAAGGGGCUAGCGUUGUUCGGAAUUACUGGGCGUAAAGCGCACGUAGGCGGAUAUUUAAGUGAGGGGUGAAAUCCCAGGGCUCAACCCUGGAACUGCCUCUCAUACUGGGUAUCUCGAGUUCGAGAGAGGUGAGUGGAAUUGCGAGUGUAGAGGUGAAAUUCGUAGAUAUUCGCAGGAACACCAGUGGCGAAGGCGGCUCACUGGCUCGAUACUGACGCUGAGGUGCGAAAGCGUGGGAGCAAACAGGAUU